AACCUUAUGGACCUGCGGGCGUAUACCUGCGGAAGGAUCAUUAUCGAGUUUUUGAAGCGAGGCUUGCUGCUGGUGCGGAAACGCGCAUGUGCACGGCUUUCGCGCUCAAAUCCACUCAACACCUGUGCACCUAUAUCUGGUUGAAGCGAGUAGUUCGGGCUCCUGUAGACGGAGUAAUGAGUAGAAAGGAGGCGCAGUCUUCCGUUUGAAAGUGAAAUGUCUCGGCUCGGGUGAAAGCUU
rnacentral:misc_RNA from 1 species